rnacentral:rRNA from 1 species
CAGUAGCCGCGGUAAUACGUAGGGUGCAAGCGUUAAUCGGAAUUACUGGGCGUAAAGCGUGCGCAGGCGGUUAUAUAAGACAGAUGUGAAAUCCCCGGGCUCAACCUGGGAACUGCAUUUGUGACUGUAUAGCUAGAGUACGGCAGAGGGGGAUGGAAUUCCGCGUGUAGCAGUGAAAUGCGUAGAUAUGCGGAGGAACACCGAUGGCGAAGGCAAUCCCCUGGGCCUGUACUGACGCUCAUGCACGAAAGCGUGGGGAGCAAACAGGAUUAGAUACCCCAGUAGUCCCUGUCUCUUAACA